rnacentral:rRNA from 1 species
AUGCUGAGACCCAAGGGAAGAGGUGGCAUGGGAUUCAAAGAUUUGAGAUUGUUUAACCAAGCAAUGCUAGCGCUGCAAGCGUGGAGGCUUAUUGAGUUCCCGGACAGCCUAUGCGCACAGGUUUUGCGGGCUAAGUACUAUCCAUCCGGAACCCUUCUGCAGGCUACUCCAAAGAAUGGUUCUUCUUUCACCUGGAAGAGUAUACUAAAGGGACUUGAAACUUUUAAGCUUGGCUAUAUCUGGAGGAUCGGAACCGACGAGACGGUCAAUAUUUGGAAUGACCCAUGGGUCCCAGCUAGUCCGAAUAGAAGAAUUAUCACUGUCAGAGGACAAACGAUUGUGACACAGGUGAGUGAAUUGAUAGACCCUAUAGCAGGUACAUGGGAUGAGGAGUUAAUCAGGUCUAUAUUCAUACCGGUUGAUGUUCGCAGAAUCAUGCAAAUUCCUGUUAAUCUUCAAGCCUUUGAAGACUUCAUUGCAUGGCAUCCAGACCGAAAGGGACUAUUCACAGUUCGGUCA